UGCCAGCCGCCGCGGUAAUACGGGGGGUGCAAGCGUUAAUCGGAAUUACUGGGCGUAAAGCGCGCGUAGGCGGUUUGUUAAGUCAGAUGUGAAAGCCCUGGGCUCAACCUUGGAACUGCAUUUGAAACUGGUUAACUAGAGUUUUGUAGAGGGUGGUAGAAUUUCAGGUGUAGCGGUGAAAUGCGUAGAGAUCUGAAGGAAUACCAGUGGCGAAGGCGGCCACCUGGACAAAGACUGACACUGAGGCGCGAAGGCGUGGGGAGCAAACGGGAUUAGAUA
rnacentral:rRNA from 1 species